GCCAUUUUGUUUAGCGUGGCUCGCUCCCCAGGCCCAUUCCCUCUAGCCCAGGAGCUUGUACAAGACCGUAGUCCUGGUUCUUUAUGCUGCUGAGUGAGUAUUGACCCCACCCACACACUAGGAUGGGGAAACCAACUAAGCAGAGGAGAAAGGGCCAAGUGGCUGCCAGGGCCAAGGGCCCCAGUGGGGCAGGGACAGCGUUGGUCAAGAACAACCCUUUUGAAGUGAAGGUGAACAAGCAGAAGUUUAAUAUCUUGGGCAGGAGAACCAAACACGACGUGGGGCUGCCGGGCGUCUCGCGGUCCAAGGCUGUCAAGAAGCGUACACAAACUUUGCUGAAAGAAUACAAAGAACGGGAAAAGUCCAAUGUAUUUAAAGAUAAGCGUUUUGGUGAAUAUAAUACCAAAAUAAGCCCAGAGGAGAAGAUGAUGAAGAGGUUCGCUUUGGAACGACAGCAAAAUCAUGAAAAGAAAAGUAUCUAUAAUCUCAAUGAAGAUGACGAAUUGACCCAUUAUGGCCAAUCUUUAGCAGAUAUUGAAAAACUUAAUGAUGUUAUUGAUAGCGACAGUGAUACUGAAGAAAGAGGAAUAUUGUCAGCUGAGCUAACUGCUGCUCACUUUGGAGGGAGUGGAGGUCUCCUUCGUAGGAAAGCACUCACUGGGGAACAAGAUGAAGAGGAGGAAAAACCUAAAUCUCGCAAGGAGCUCAUUGAAGAGCUGAUUGCCAAAUCCAAACAAGAGAAGAGAGAGAGACAAACUCAGAGAGAGAAUGCCUUGGAACUCACAGAAAAACUUGACACUGACUGGAAAGAAAUCCAAACCCUUCUCUCCCACAAAACCCCCAAGUCAGAGAGGAAAGAUAAAGAAGAGGAGAAACCCAAGCCUGAUGAGUAUGAUAUGAUUGUUCGAGAACUUGGGUUUGAGAUGAAGGCACAACCCUCUGACAGGAUGAAGACUGAGGAAGAGUUGGCGAAAGAGGAGCAAGAAAGACUACAGAAAUUAGAGGCUGACAGACUGCGUCGAAUGCAUGGAAAAGAUGAACAGGAGAACAAAAAGAAACCCAAGCAUAUGUCAGCUGAUGAUUUAGCAGAUGGCUUCAUCCUGGAUAAAGAUGACAGACGUUUACUUUCUUAUAAGGGUGGAAAACUCAAUGUUGGAAAUGAAGAGGAAGAAGGUGGGAAUGAAGAAGAGGAGAGAGAGAGUGAAGAAGAAAGUGAGGGAGAGCCUGGUGGAGAAGAUGAGGAAGAAGCAAUUGUUGAGGAAGAUGAUGCUACAGAUAGUCCCUCUGACCUGGAAUCUGACAUGGGGAGUGAGGAAGAGGUCACUGCAAAUGAAGAACAGAAGGAGAAACACAAAGGAAAUGAAAAGAAACUGCAAAGUGAGGAAGAACAAAAUGCUAAAAUAGAAGCUGCCAGAUCUGAGCUUCCAUACACAUUUACUGUUCCAGAAUCCUAUGAGAAACUUAAAUCUUUACUGUUUGGAAGAAUAAUAGAAGAACAGCUAGUUAUCCUAGAGAGGAUUCAGAAGUGCAAUCAUCCAAGCCUUGCAGUGGGAAACAAAGCAAAGUUAGAAAAACUGUUCGGCUUCCUUCUGGAGUACAUUGGGGAAUUAGCAACUGUGGAGCCACCAGAGCUCAGAACAAUUGACAAAUUGGUCCUGCCGUUGUUCAGUCUUUGCCAGAUGUUUCCUGAAGCUGCAAGUAACAGCGUUAAGUUUGUCCUCCAAGAUGCUGCACAUGACAUGGAAGAAAUGAUUGAAGUCAAAGGCCGUGCAACAUUUCCAGGGCUAGACAUGCUCAUUUAUUUGAAAAUUACUGCAAUACUGUUUCCUACCUCUGACUUCUGGCACCCAGUAGUAACACCUGCAUUGGUAUAUAUGAGUCAGUUACUUACUAAGUGCCAAGUCAUGACACUGCAAGAUGUUGUUAAAGGAUUGUUUGUGUGCUGUUUGUUCCUGGAAUAUGUAUCACUGUCUCAAAGAUUCAUACCAGAACUUAUCAAUUUCCUCGUUGGAAUACUUCACUUAUCUAUAUCUCAAAAACGACCACAGGGCUAUAUUCUAGUGCAUCCUUUCAGACCAGCAGGAAAAAAUUCAGACUUACUCUUGGUCUGUGAUAAGAAGGAUAUGGAGACUUGGAAAAAGCAAAAUCUGCCACUCAGUAUUGUGACUAGAUUAAAGGAAAGCAGCCAAACAGAAAUGAAUCAUUUCAGGUUAUCAUGUCUAGCCGUGUGUUUGGAUCUCAUUAAGAAAUGUGCAGCUUUGUAUGAAUCUUUGUCAUCCUUCCAUGAAAUAAUGCAACCCAUCAGAGUACUUCUUACAGAACAUAUACCAGUGAAUGAAUACCCUAAACAACUGCAGGAGUUGCAUCAAAAUGCUCUGAAAGAGCUAGAGGACAAAGGAAAACAGUAUACCCCGUUGGUGUGUGAGAAAAAGAAGCCUGUGCCAUUGAAACUGUACAUGCCCAAAAUUGUGAAAGUCCUGGAGUUUGGGAGGAAACAGGGAGGCAGCAAGGAGGAGCAGGAAAGAAAGAGGCUGAUUCACAAACACAAACGUGAAUUUAAAGGAGCUGUUCGGGAGAUCCGGAAAGAUAACCAGUUCCUGGCUAGAAUGCAGCUUUCAGAAAUGAUGGAAAGGGAUUCUGAUAGAAAAAGAAAAGUGAAAAAUCUUUUCAAUAGCCUUGCUACACAGGAAGGUGAAUGGAAGGCAAUGAAGCGGAAGAAGUUUAAAAAUUAGACAUUGACGUUCUACAACAGGAAACCCUGGGACAUUAUAUUUUUACUUUCAGUGACAAAUGUUUAGUUAGCCAUUCCAAGAACCAACGAGGAUGGCUGCAGUCUUCAGAGACAUUUUAAGCGGUUGAUGUACAGGUUUGUGUUUCCACCAGAUGCAUCAUGGAAAUUCUCCUUUUUUUAUAUCCUCCUGAUCUUACAAAAUGUCUUGUUUUUAAUAAGAUGGCAAAAAAUUAAAAAUGAACAAUAUUUUCAUAUUAACUUGCUAUUCUGUUAUUACUAGGCUUUCUUGUUACAGGGUGCACCACUCACUGCUGGUCUGGCACUUCCUCCUGGUCACUCUUGAGGAUUAGCUCUUGAGAUCAACAUCCCCACACUCGCAUCUGCAGCUCCUCUGUCAUCCCAGGAACCUCUUUGUGACUCAGCCCUCUGGUCGGGUCAUUCAGUGUUCCUCCCUUUCGGGGUAGCGCAGUCCCUUCCACUGCCUUGGUGCCACUCCUUCAGUGGCUGGUAGGAGAACCCAGACCUGCCCUCUACUCCAGGUUCCGGUCCAGAGACCCUCACCUCAGUAGUUCUGGACUUUCCUCUCUUAGCCCUCACUGCUCCUUCCCUGGAUGGAGAAUUUUAAUUAUUUUUGGUGCAGAAUUUUUAAUUUUUGGGCACAGAAUUCCCCAAGGAAUAAUUAAUCUAUACUGAAGAAGGGAUGAGAAGGAUGGGGUGGAAAUGGAUUGUGCCAAUGGCAUGGAAAGGGUUGUGAAGCUGGAGUAGAAGGGGAAAUAGAGGAAGUGCAUAUGUAAAUAGAUUGGGAGAAAGGGCAUAAUUUACUGGAGCUGGGGAAAGAAUAUGGAAAGAUUAUGGGGCUUGUGUGAAGAACAGUCAAGCAGACCUUUUCCUCUGAGACAAUACUGGGUAAAAUUAACUUAUGUGCUUUUUAAAAUUGUGCCUGCUGUCAGUAUUUAAGACAAAUAUAAUUCUUAUAUUGUAAACUUGUCACUAAUCAUAGCACAACAUAUAUAUGGCACUUUACAUGUACAGAGCACUGUACAGACAUUAAACAAUCCUCAGGACACUCUGUGAUAGAGGCUAGUAAAUAUCCUCAUUUUACAGAUGAGGAAACAGUGUAGAAAUGACUUGUCCAGUGCCACUCACCAAGCAAGUAGCACAGUAGGAAUUAAAAUUCAUGUCCUCUUUAUUACCAUUCCAGGGCAGGCUAUACAUACAUUGUAUAUUCUCACAUUAGGGUUGACUAUACACAUACUUGAAAAGCAGCUUGUAAUGUCAGCAUAUUCAUAUAACUUCCUUAGGUUGUCCUCUUUCACAGAUCCUGCAUGCCAGAUUCAGGAGGUUUCAAACUGUUGCUUGUUACACUGAUAUUAUAAUGCAUGUACAACACUAUACUGACAAUAUACUGUAUUAUAUUUGCUGUCUGUCCUUCAGGCUCUUGAGAUGGAGUUUGUUUGGUUACUUUGGUCAUUAAAUGAUUAUAAAGCAGUGUUUCCUGAAAAA